rnacentral:lncRNA from 1 species
CAAAGCUACAACAUUUGCUUUAAUUCAGCACAACGUAGUGGUAGAUAUAUAGUGUGAAAUGGCAUUGGUGGAUUUAUUCCAACUUUAUUUUGAAAGAGUGUUGUCUGUUCGUUUCUCAUCGUCCUAUAAAUUGGCGUUUUAUCGAAUGUAUUGAUACUAAAUAACAGCUUUAUUACCUGUCUCACUCAAGCUUUAACAAAUGACUUGAAGUUACAACCUAACCGGAAUUAUGCGUCACAUACAUGUACAUGUAGAUGAGUGUGUAAUGACAUUGGUAGAUUUUAAACAUGUACAAACUUUAUCCAGAGGAUGUUUCGUUUGUUCGUUCUCAUCAUCAAGCUUUAACCAAUAAUUGGAUGUUAAACCUGGCUUUAAUUCAGUGCAACUUAGUGGGAAUGUAAUGGUAUUGGUGGAGGCACAGUGGACAAGUUGCAAAAUAAUGCAGCCUACAUUAUACAGUUUAAACCAUCAGUGAUCAAUUUGAAAAUGAAAGUAAUGGCAUGUGCGAUGCAAUCUUAAAACCACAUACAUGCAUAAGCAUGUAGAUUUGAUGUGAGAUUUAUAAAAUAAAUUAUAAUUUUGUAAAUUUUGUUUGUGUGAAAACUAUUUUCAUGAACAACCCCUGAUUCAGUACAGAUUGAAAAGUCAGAGAGAUAAGAAUACAAUUUAACUAUACAAAAUGUAUAUACAUGUACAUGUAUUGUCAUACAAUAUAUUUGGUUAAAAGAAUGAAUAAAACUACAGGGACAC